rnacentral:rRNA from 1 species
UACGUAGGUGGCAAGCGUUGUCCGGAUUUACUGGGUGUAAAGGGCGUGUAGGCGGAGCUGCAAGUCAGAUGUGAAAUCCCGGGGCUCAACCCCGGAACUGCAUUUGAAACUGUAGCCCUUGAGUAUCGGAGAGGCAGGCGGAAUUCCUAGUGUAGCGGUGAAAUGCGUAGAUAUUAGGAGGAACACCAGUGGCGAAGGCGGCCUGCUGGACUGCGACUGACGUUGAGGCUCGAAAGCGUGGGGAGCGAACAGG